rnacentral:lncRNA from 1 species
UUUCUAAUAGGAACUCCAUUAAUUCAAAGUCAGAACACCCAGGCAGGGCAGGUAUCCAUCUCCCAAGUGGAUCACGGAUUGAUUUGAACAGGUUACUAUGUGAGAGGCCAGAUGCAUCCUGUCCUGCUCCCCCUCCCAGCUCCAGGAUCCCAUCCCACAUCAGCCACUGUGGGAACCCCUGCUCCUGGCUGCUAGAGUUGUAGUGCGACUGAGCCAGAAGAUGUUCCUGCACCCCUGAGCCUAUGUUCCAGAGGAGACAAGCCCGAGGCAGGAUGCAAAGACCUGGACCAAGUCAUUUCCAUUAAGAUGUUGGUUCCCUACAAGAGGAAGAGCUGGCCCAGGAAAGCAGUGGGUCUUCAGAAGCAAGCUAGACCUGACCCUCAGGCUGCUGAAGGGGCUUCUAACUAAUGGCAACCUUAGGACUAAGCAUCACCCAAACUGGUGUCACGGUACCUGUAUGUGGUUCCUGCAGAAAGGAAGGGCACUUGUCAUUCUGACUGGAGCCUGGUGGAGCUCCUGCAAGGAACGGCACGGGAGAGGGGUCCCAAGGC